rnacentral:rRNA from 1 species
CCCUUAGAUGUUCUGGGCCGCACGCGCGCUACACUGACGAAUGCAACGAGCUUAUAACCUUGGCCGAAAGGUCUGGGUAAUCUCCAAAUUUCGUCGUGAUGGGGAUAGAUUAUUGCAAUUAUUAAUCUUCAACGAGGAAUGCCUAGUAAGCGCAAGUCAUCAGCUUGCGUUGAUUACGUCCCUGCCCUUUGUACACACCGCCCGUCGCUCCUACCGAUUGAAUGGUCCGGUGAAGCGUUCGGACCGUGGCCUUUGGACGGUUCGACGUCUGUUGGCUGCGGGAAGUUCGUUAAACCUUAUCAUUUAGAGGAAGGAGAAGUCGUAACA